rnacentral:rRNA from 1 species
GGAGCAUGUGGCUUAAUUUGACUCAACGCGGGAAAUCUUACCGGGUCCGGACACACUGAGGAUUGACAGGCAAUAUUAUACUAAAACACUCGCUCUCUAUAACACAUUCACGUGUGUCAUAUGUGUGUGUGUGUGGCGGUAUAUGUUAAAAAAUGAGAUUCCUUUCAUGAUUAUGUGAUAGGUGGUGCGCGGGCCCUCUUAUUUCGUGGAGAGAUCUGUCUGCUUAAUUGUGUUUCACUAAAGGGCUCAUACAAUGAAUAUAUUCUUAUAUACAUUAAAAAACACUCUCGUGUUUUUCUAUAUGUGUAUAUAUAUAUAUUUUUUAUGCUCUCAAAACAACAAAAGUGAGCGCAACCUCUUGUUGUCUUUACACUAUACUCUCAUACAAAGGCGAACUAGAGAGACCGCUGUGACAUUCUCUCUCCCACAGAAGAGUGACAGCGAUAACCGCUUUUAAAAA